CAUCGUCUACUUAGUCAUCAUUUGUCAAUGCAGGAGCAAUCUAGAAUGAGAACAUGGGGAUGGGCUGUGGCACCUGGGAGGACCACUACAGAUCAUAUUAAAGAUGAAGAAAUGGAAGGAAACACAGUUAAGUGACUUGCCCAUGAUCACAUAGCAUUUUUCAGCACAGCCUGACACAAAUGAGUUUCCCAGAAACAGAAAAGAAUAUGCACCCAGGGAAGACCACCAAGGAACAACAACCCCCUGGAAUGACAUGAAGAAACCUUCUUUGACUUCCUUCGUUUCAUACUUUGCAAUAUCCACAUCUUUGCAACUUCUAUCUAAAAGGAGCUUGGAAAAUAUGGUCUCAGAUCACAUUCUCAGUGGUCUCCUGCCUUUGCUGCAGUAAGGAGGAUCAGCUGCCCAAUUUUCUCAGAGCCAUCCAGUGUAUCCUGACAUGGAAAAAAUAAAGUAGAAACAGCAUGUGUGAAGACCUAGACUUGAAUCUCAGCUCCACCAUGCACUACUACCUACGUGACCAUCAGCAAGUCUAUAUCAACUUCAUCAUCUCCACACCAUUAUCAUCAGCAGUAGCAGCCUGAAAGUUAGAAGUCACUGACUUUCAUCCCAAGACUGAUAUUGCCAAUUGUAUAUUCUGUAUAUGUAUUAAGCUAAGUUUCAAGAAACUCUCUAAGACCUCUCAACUAAUCAAUCAAUCAAUCGAUCAAUAAUAUCUUAAUAAAUAUCUAGCAUGUCCGAGGUACAGGGGAUACACAUAUAAAGAACAAAACUAUUAAAACUAUUAGACUAUUAUUCUUAAACUAUAUAAAACUAUUAAAAAUUUCAAGGAUCUUAGUUGUAGAUGGCCUGGAAACUUCACCGGCAGAUUUUUUUAUACCAACAAAAACAUAGAUGGCAUUGGUAGAGAUCUCACACUAGUUGGAAUCUCAGAUCUUUGAUAUGUGAAUCCCAAAGCAUGCACACAAGUCCUGUUUC